rnacentral:pre_miRNA from 1 species
UCUAAUGGAUGAGCAAAGAAAGUGGUUUCUUGAGGUCGAAUCUACUCCUGGUGUAGAUGCCAUGAA